rnacentral:rRNA from 1 species
AUGAGAGCUACCAGCCAACAGCCGGCACGUCUCCUACUGCGGCUGCUCUUGAUCGGCUUCUUCCUCCUUUCGACCGCCGCCGGCGUCACUGACAAGCUCGAGAGGGGCCAGAAGCUCGCCGAUGGCGACACGCUCGUUUCGGCUGGCGGCUCCUUCACCCUCGGGUUCUUCUCUCCUGGGGCGUCCACCAAGAGGUACCUCGGCAUCUGGUUCUCCGUGUCCAACGCCACCGUCUGCUGGGUCGCCAACCGCGACCAGCCUCUCCUUGACAAGUCCGGCACGCUGGUGCUUAACGACGUUGGCAGCCUCGUCUUGGGGGACAGCUCCCGCCGGACCCGGACGGCGUGGUCUUCGAACUUCCUGCCCGCCUCGGCGGCGGCGGUUCAGCUUCUCGAGUCCGGCAACCUGGUCGUGCGCAACGGCAGCAGCAGCACCUCCCUGUGGCAGUCGUUCGAUCAGCCGUCGGACACCCUGCUGCCCGGCAUGAAGCUGGGCAAGAACCUCUGGACCGGAGGCGAGUGGCAGCUCACGUCGUGGAGCUCCGCCGACGACCCGUCGCCGGGAGACUACCGCACGCUGCAAACCAGUGGGUUACCGGAGAUCAUCCUGUGGUACCGCGACGUCAAGACGUACCGCACUGGCCCGUGGAACGGGGUCUACUUCAACGGCGUCCCGGAGGCGCGUGCGUACGCGGGCAAGUACCCGCUGCUGGUGACGACGAGCCCGUGGAAGAUCACCUACGGCUACACCGCCGCGCCCGGCGCGCCGCUGACCCGCGUCGUGGUGAACCACACCGGCAAGGCGGAGCGGCUGGAGUGGGACGCGAGCAACCGGGAGUGGAACCGUAUAUUCCAGGGGCCGAGGGACCCGUGCGACGAGUACGGGAAGUGCGGCCCGUUCGGCCUCUGCGACCCCGGGGCGGCGUCGUCGGGGUUCUGCGGCUGCGUCGACGGGUUCAGCGCCGCGAACACGUCGGCGCGGGAGGUGAAGGAUAAUUCCGACGGGUGCCGACGAGACGCGGCGCUGGUCUGUGCCGGCGGGACGACGACGGACGGGUUCAAGGUGGUGCCAGGGAUGAAGCUUCCCGACACGCAGAAUGCGUCGGUGGACAUUGGCGUCACGCUGGAUGAGUGCAGGUCGAGGUGCCUCGCCGACUGCUCGUGCUUGGCCUACGCCGCCGCCGAUAUUCGGGGAGGCGGCGAUGGCACCGGGUGCGUCAUGUGGACGGAUGGCAUCGUUGAUCUACGCCUCGUCGACAGAGGGCAGAAUCUCUACCUGAGGCUGUCAAAAUCAGAAAUCGGUGGCCGUAAAAGGUUUCCUACACUACUUGUUGCCACAACUCUACCUUCUGCUGUUACUAUUCUUCUGCUCGUCUUUAUGAUUUGGUGGAGAAGGAAAAACAGAACAAUAGGUGCAAUUCCUCCAAAUCCUACCAUGGCGGUUCCUUCAGUUAGUCUAGCAAUUAUAAAGGAUGUCACUGGAAAUUUCUCUAAAAGUAAUAUCAUUGGGCAGGGUGGAUUUAGCAUUGUUUACAAGGGACAGCUUCCUGAAGGAAGAACUAUUGCUGUCAAGAGGCUUAAACAAACAGCAUUGACAACAAAAGGCAAGAAUGAUUUCGCGAGAGAAGUGGAAGUGAUGGUUGGGCUUCGACAUGGUAGUCUUGUUCGUCUCCUCGCUUACUGUGAUGAAGGCAAGGAGCGGAUACUCAUCUACGAAUACAUGCAGAACAAGAGUCUGAACAUCUACAUAUUCGGAUCAGGCGAGAGUGUGAUCCAUCGUGACCUUAAACCCGGGAACAUUCUUCUCGAUGAUGAGUGGAAGCCAAAAAUCGCUGACUUUGGCACCGCCAAACUGUUUGUCGAUAAUCGGACUGGGCCUGAUCAAACAAUUGUCAUUUCGCCGGGAUACGCAGCUCCGGAGUAUGUGCGGGGAGGGGAGAUGACGCUAAAAUGCGACGUUUAUAGCUUUGGAGUUAUUCUUCUAGAGACUCUUAGCGGGCAAAGGAAUGGUAGCUUGCAAAGGCUUCUUUCCCAAGCCUGGGAACUGUGGGAGAAGAAUAGGAUCAUUGAACUUCUCGACACAACAAUUGUGCCGCUCCCCAAGUCCGAGCCCGAGAUACUGCCCGAGCUAAAACGUUGUAUCCAGAUCGGGCUCCUCUGCGUCCAGGAAAUGCCAGAUGAUAGGCCAGCCAUGUCAGAAGUUGUGGCCAUGUUUACAAGCACAACAUCUCAAAUUGAUUUGCCCAGAAGAUCGGUACUAGAUAGCGGAAUAGCCAUGCCUUUGAAUCCGUCCCUUGAACUUGAGACUGAUCACUUGAACCCCACUACAAUUGAGGUGAGAUCACCAUCGAGUAGAUCCAGCUAUUGUUGUCUAGCUUGCAACCAAUCUAAUUAA